rnacentral:rRNA from 1 species
AUUGAACGCUGGCGGCAGGCUUAACACAUGCAAGUCGAGCGAGCGGCGGACGGGUGAGUAAUGCUUAGGAAUCUGCCUGAUGGAGGGGGAUAACUACUGGAAACGGUAGCUAAUACCGCAUACCAUCAGAUGUGCCCAGAUGGGAUUAGCUAGUAGGUGGGGUAAUGGCUCACCUAGGCGACGAUCCCUAGCUGGUCUGAGAGGAUGACCAGCCACACUGGAACUGGGACACGGUCCAGACGCCUACGGGAGGCAGCAGUGGGGAAUAUUGGACAAUGGGGGGAACCCUGAUCCAGCCAUGCCGCGGGUGUGAAGAAGGCCUUAUGGUUGUAAAGCACUUUAAGCGAGGAGGCGUUACUCGCAGAAUAAGCACCGGCUAACUCUGUGCCAGCAGCCGCGGUAAUAC